GAUGAACGCUAGCGGCAGGCCUAACACAUGCAAGUCGAACGGUAACAGGCCCUUCGGGGUGCUGACGAGUGGCGGACGGGUGAGUAAUACGUAGGAAUCUGCCUAAUGGAGUGGGAUAACCUAGGGAAACUUAGGGUAAUACCGCAUAAGCCUUAAGAGGUAAAGCAGGGGAUCGCAAGACCUUGCGCUAUUAGAUGAGCCUACGUCGGAUUAGCUAGUUGGUGGGGUAAAGGCCUACCAAGGCGACGAUCCGUAGCUGGUCUGAGAGGACGACCAGCCACACUGGGACUGAGACACGGCCCAGACUCCUACGGGAGGCAGCAGUGGGGAAUAUUGGACAAUGGGCGGAAGCCUGAUCCAGCAAUGCCGCGUGUGUGAAGAAGGCCUGCGGGUUGUAAAGCACUUUCAGUGGGGAGGAGAGGCCUUUGGCUAAUAUCCAGAGGAAGAGACGUUACCCACAGAAGAAGCACCGGCUAACUCUGUGCCAGCAGCCGCAGUAACAC
rnacentral:rRNA from 1 species